UACGUAGGGUGCAAGCGUUUGUCCGGAAUUAUUGGGCGUAAAGAGCUCGUAGGCGGUCAGUCGCGUCUGCUGUGAAAACUCGGGGCUUAACUCCGGGCCUGCAGUGGGUACGGGCUGACUAGAGUGCGGUAGGGGAGACUGGAAUUCCUGGUGUAGCGGUGAAAUGCGCAGAUAUCAGGAGGAACACCGGUGGCGAAGGCGGGUCUCUGGGCCGUAACUGACGCUGAGGAGCGAAAGCGUGGGGGAGCGAACAGG
rnacentral:rRNA from 1 species